rnacentral:rRNA from 1 species
AGAGUUUGAUUCUGGCUCAGAACGAACGCUGGUGGCGUGCUUAUACAUGCAAGUCGAGCGAGGCAGCAAUGCCGAGCGGCGAACGGGUGAGUAACGCGUAAGCAAUCUGCCCCAUAUCAGGAAAUACCCGUGCCAACGCGCGGUUAAUGUCCAGGAGAGUGGCCCUCUGCAUGGAGGGUUGACUAGAGAUUUAUCGGUAUGGGAUGAGCUUGCGUCCGAUUAGCUAGUUGGCGGGCAACGGCCCACCAAGGCGACGAUCGGUAGCCGGCCUGAGAGGGUGAUCGGCCACAUUGGGACUGAGAUACGGCCCAGACUCCUACGGGAGGCAGCAGUAGGGAAUAUUGCACAAUGGGGGAAACCCUGAUGCAGCAACGCCAACCGUGUGGGAAGAAGCAUUUCGGUGUGUAAACCACUGUCAUGAGGGAAUAAGGCCCUUAUCCGUAAGGAUUCGAAUCCGUACCUUGAGACGUAGCACGGCAACUCGUGCCAGCCGCCGC